UCCAGACUCCUACGGGAGGCAGCAGUGGGGGAUAUUGCACAAUGGGGGGAACCCUGAUGCAGCGACGCCGCGUGGGCGAGGGAGCGCCUCGGCGCGUAAAGCCCUUUCGGCGGGGGAGAGCGAUGACGGUACCCGACGAAGAAGCCACGGCUAACUACGUGCCAGCAGCCGCGGUAAUACGUAGGGAGCAAGCGUUGUCCGGAAUUACUGGGCGUAAAGGGCGCGUAGGUGGGCGCUUAAGUCAGGUGUGAAAACUCCGGGCUCAACCUGGAGACUGCACUUGAAACUGGGUGUCUUGAGGGCAGGAGAGGAAAGUGGAAUUCCUAGUGUAGCGGUGAAAUGCGUAGAUAUUAGGAGGAACACCAGUGGCGAAGGCGACUUUCUGGACUGUACCUGACGCUGAGGCGCGAAAGCGUGGGUAGCGAACGGGAUUAGAUACCCUGGUA
rnacentral:rRNA from 1 species